GUGGAUUAGAUACCCGAAUAGUCCACGCCGUAAACAAUGCACGCUAGAUCGGGGUGGCUCUGACGCCGGCUCGGUCGAAGCAAAAGCGAUAAGCGUGCCGCCUGGGGAGUACGGUCGCAAGGCUAAAACUCAAAGGAAUUGACGGGGGCUCACACAAGCGGUGGAGCAUGUUGCUUAAUUCGAGGCAACGCGAAGAACCUUACCUGGGUUUGACAUGCUUGGAUUAACUCCUGGAAACAGGAGCCACGCCCGCAAGGGUGGAACAAGCACAGGUGCUGCACGGCCGUCGUCAGCU
rnacentral:rRNA from 1 species